rnacentral:rRNA from 1 species
UAAGGAAUAUUGGUCAAUGGACGCAAGUCUGAACCAGCCAUGCCGCGUGAAGGAUGAAGGUCCUCUGGAUUGUAAACUUCUUUUAUCUGGGACGAAAACGGGAUUUUUAUCUCAAUUGACGGUACCAAAGGAAUAAGCACCGGCUAACUCCGUGCCAGCAGCCGCGGUAAUACGGAGGGUGCGAGCGUUAUCCGGAUUUACUGGGUUUAAAGGGUGCGUAGGUGGGCUUAUAAGUCAGUGGUGAAAUCUCCGGGCUUAACUUGGAAACUGCCGUUGAUACUAUAGGUCUUGAAUUAUCUGGAGGUAAGCGGAAUAUGUCAUGUAGCGGUGAAAUGCUUAGAUAUGACAUAGAACACCAAUUGCGAAGGCAGCUUACUACAUAUAAAUUGACGCUGAGGCACGAAAGCGUGGGGAUCAAACA